rnacentral:lncRNA from 1 species
AAGCUGUCUAAACAUAUGUUGUACAUAGUUGUUAUUGUGGAUUGGUUCGUUAAUUAAUAGAUUAGUGGUUUCACUAUACUAGAACUAAUCGUGAUGAGAUACAUAGUAGCUUCGCAUUGCAGUAAUUUCUGCGUGUUUUCCUUCCCCAUUAAUUUAAGUUUCAUGUCCCCUUUGUCUUUUUUUUUCUAUAGGAUGUCCUCCAGUAUAUGAAAAGCAAGAUUUAUUUGGGUCAUUUCACAUGGAUUAUUAUGCAAACUUUACCAAGGAAGUAUCAUAGUUGCUUAAGAUUGCUUUCUUAAAAGUGUCAACUUGUUUGAAGAAAUUAAUCAUGAAUUAAUGUUCUUCUCAUUUAUUUUAUGCUUGGGUUGGUCGUGUAUUGAUUGCUUUUGGUUCUCCUAUUUCGGUAGAUUGUGUGUUGACUCACUAUUCUCCCCUUUUAUUUUGUUGAUCAUAUACUAAUGUACUUUAUUUUUUCUUGCUUUGCAUGAACCCGCUUGAGAGUCCAAACGGACUCUUUCUCUUGCAUUUCACAAUGGGCCAUUGAGGCCCAUCCUUUAGAAGACUUUAAAAAAUGAAUUGCAUGGCAUACGAAUACGAGGAGUCUAAAGACAAAAUGGGUUAAAGUCCCAUAUUCGAAGCAGCCAAGAGACUUAAAAGUCUCGAUUUUUUUUCAUUUUAUUUGUUCAUUGUAUCACUCUUCAUUGUUGUAUUAUUUAUUUAGUUAUUUAUGUGUUAUUUUUUUAUUUGGG